rnacentral:rRNA from 1 species
AAUAGAUACCCCGGUAGUCCACGCCGUAAACGAUGUCGACUUGGAGGUUGUUCCCUUGAGGAGUGGCUUCCGGAGCUAACGCGUUAAGUCGACCGCCUGGGGAGUACGGCCGCAAGGUUAAAACUCAAAUGAAUUGACGGGGCCCGCACAAGCGGUGGAGCAUGUGGUUUAAUUCGAUGCAACGCGAAGAACCUUACCUACUCUUGACAUCCAGAGAACUUAGCAGAGAUGCUUUGGUGCCUUCGGGAACUCUGAGACAGGUGCUGCAUGGCUGUCGUCAGCUCGUGUUGUGAAAUGUUGGGUUAAGUCCCGCAACGAGCGCAACCCUUAUCCUUUGUUGCCAGCGGUUCGGCCGGGAACUCAAAGGAGACUGCCAGUGAUAAACUGGAGGAAGGUGGGGAUGACGUCAAGUCAUCAUGGCCCUUACGAGUAGGGCUACACACGUGCUACAAUGGCGUAUACAAAGAGAAGCGACCUCGCGAGAGCAAGCGGACCUCAUAAAGUACGUCGUAGUCCGGAUUGGAGU